UACGAAGGGUGCAAGCGUUACUCGGAAUUACUGGGCGUAAAGCGUGCGUAGGUGGUUUGUUAAGUCUGAUGUGAAAGCCCUGGGCUCAACCUGGGAAUUGCAUUGGAUACUGGCAGGCUAGAGUGCGGUAGAGGAUGGCGGAAUUCCCGGUGUAGCAGUGAAAUGCGUAGAGAUCGGGAGGAACAUCUGUGGCGAAGGCGGCCAUCUGGACCAGCACUGACACUGAGGCACGAAAGCUGGGGGAGCAAACAGG
rnacentral:rRNA from 1 species